GAAUCAGGUAGAAUACCCGGUUG
rnacentral:rRNA from 1 species